GGAAAGUCAGCAUUUUUCUUGGGGACUAGGGGAUCCUAACACUGGUUCCUACCUGAAGGAUUCAGAAACCCCAAUGAAAUCAUUGAAUCUGGUUAACAGGGAGGUUGAGGCUAGGAGGAAAACCGUAUGAACAUGCCCAUCAAAUUCCAAGUCUACUCCUGUCUGAAUCUGGAUACAGGAAGAUGAAGGUGAAUCAGUGUUUUUUUCCACCCUUAAUUCAAUUCAGCUCAGCAGGAUCUGGAUGAAGCAGGAAAUCAGGAAGCAAAGGAACCCAGGAUUUUGUUUUUCACUCUUGUCAGUCAUAUCUGAAAGGCUGACAGUUACCAGGGGCUGUGGCCAGCACUAGGGAGAAUGUGUCAUUACUGGCUAUGUUGGCCAUAGCAACAUGUCUGUCUUGGAACAGAUCCAGCGUGGAUGAACAAACAGAAGAAUGUUUAAGAAGCCUUGUUACUGAAAGAGACCAAAGCAGCUGAAUCCCACAGAGUGAAGAUGAAGGCAGCCUUCGUGAGAGAGCAUUCCCCAGGAUUCCCUUGAAGAAUGUAAGACCAGCUGGAAUGAAACUUGUUGAGGUCCUGAGGGAAGCGUAAAAUCCAACAGUUAUUAUGGAAUGGAUUUUUCUAAAGAAAGAGUGCAUUUGCUUUGAUGACAUCUUUGUAGCAUUCGGUUGCCUUCUAGAAAGCCCACUGAGAAUUGGGGCUCUUCCGGGAAGCACUCCAUUCAUCUGUUGAAAGAAUGGCUUGUUAUGGCACCCCCUCACCUUACAAACUGGAUUUCCCUCCAAAGCCUGUUUGAAAUAUUUUCCCUAAUCUUGGAUGUGUUUCCCCACAAGCACUGCUGUCUCUUUUUCUGUUGCUUGAUAUGGGAUGUCUCCUGCAGAUCCAAACCUACACCUGUAGCAUGCAGCACAGCACCUGUACCGUCGCUCGCCAUAGCCCUUGCCUCAGCCUCUGAAAGUUUUCUUUAUGAAAAUUAAUCCUUCCUGAAGGAUGAUCACAGAUUUGAAGCCAGCCUCAGCAAUUUAGCAAGGUCGUAAGCAAGUGUCUCAAAAA